rnacentral:tRNA from 1 species
GCUCCGGUGGUGUAGUCCGGCCAAGCAUAGAGGCCUCUCGAGUCUCUGACCCGGGUUCAAAUCCCGGCCGGAGCA